CAGGCGGUAGCUUAUGUAAAAGCUUUUUAGUUACAUUAAUAGGAAAAUUUAUAAUGAUUUUGUCUGA
rnacentral:tRNA from 1 species